UCCUAGACCAUGUAGUCCAAGUGAGCUCGCCCAGAACAGAAGACCCACCCAGCUGACUCGUAGAAUCAAACCAUCGGAGGCCUGUGAGUAGCAGAGUGACACUGGCUGCUGUGUGGAGAGCGCUGUGUGGCAAGCAGGAGUAGAAACAAGGAGCUGUUCGAGGAGACGACAGGAGCUCUGCGCAGGGAGACAGAGGAGGCAGUGCGCGGGGUGGAGAGCUGUGGUGGCAGGACUCUGUUCAAGGGGACUGAAACGCAGGCGGCAUCCUCUGGACUUAACACAGUGAUCAGAACAGUACAGGUCAACAAACUAUGAUCAGUUGGCAAAGAGAAUGAAAUCAAUCCUGUGGCUGAACACCCUGUUCAGUUGGUUCCAAAUUAGGAAUGUGACCACUUGUGCCAGGGUUCUUAGAAGCACUUCCUCAUCCCUAAGAGUGGUCUUCUUUCUCUGGAUACUGGCGUGUUUGGAUUGUGAUGCCAAGGUUUUUUGCUAUCAUCUGUCUCUUGCCCAAGGAGGAAGCUGUUCUCUGAAGGAUGAGAGAGUAAAGAUUGGAGGAGCCUUGGAUCCUUCAUGACCUUGUUGUGCAACAGCAUCUAUCAACCUUGCCCUCCCUAUGAACUUCCUUGUUAUAUGAUAUAAUAAAUUUCCCAAUUGUUUCAGUAUUAGUCACAGUGUGAAUGGGUUUUAUUAUUAGCAGCUAAAACAUUCUGUUCACCAAGUGCCACUUGGUAACACUGAUUUUCCACAAAUGCUGGUAAAAUGCUCACUUCAACUCAUCCCACAUUCUCCAGCAUAGUUAGAGAAUGCUCUGGAGAAUAUACAUGGGUCCAGAUUUUUUAGAAACUCUCCAGGUACGCAGACCUCAGUCUUGUCAGGGUUAGUCUAUGUCAAAAACUUCUAUUCUCUUCCUUUCAGCCAAGUACUCCAUUGACCUUCAUUGCAGACUCAAGCCAGGUUUGAGAAUGUAAUUCUUUCUUAACUGAAAGCAUAUAAGAGUUACCAGGAGUCAAGAUGCCAUGAGCUAUUUGUCCCUGUAUCUAUUAUUGAGGUGCCCAAAAAGUUUGUUUGGGUUUUUCUGUAAACUGUAACAAACUCGAAUGAACUUUUUGACCAACCCAAUAUUUAAAGUCUGCUUAAGUUCCAGACUCUUUUUGACUAGUCUGCUGAUUGGGUUUCCGACUUCAUGCUGUCUUUCU
ensembl:lncRNA